AUUGAACGCUGGCGGCAUGCCUUACACAUGCAAGUCGAACGGUAACAGGUCUUCGGAUGCUGACGAGUGGCGAACGGGUGAGUAAUACAUCGGAACGUGCCUAGUAGUGGGGGAUAACUACUCGAAAGAGGGCUAAUACCGCAUGAGAUCUACGGAUGAAAGCGGGGAUCGCAAGACCUUGUGCUACUAGAGCGGCCGAUGGCAGAUUAGGUAGUUGGUGGGAUAAAAGCUUACCAAGCCGACGAUCUGUAGCUGGUCUGAGAGGACGAUCAGCCGCACUGGGACUGAGAAACGGCCCAGACUCCUACGGGAGGCAGCAGUGGGGAAUUUUGGACAAUGGGCGAAAGCCUGAUCCAGCAAUGCCGCGUGCACGAUGAAGGCCUUCGGGUUGUAAACUGCUUUUGUACGGAACGAAAAGCCCCGGGUUAAUACCCUGGGGUCAUGACGGUACCGUAAGAAUAAGCACCGGCUAACUACGUGCCAGCCGCCGCCGUAA
rnacentral:rRNA from 1 species